rnacentral:rRNA from 1 species
CAAUAGCGUAUAUUAAAGUUGUUGCAGUUAAAAAGCUCGUAGUUGGAUUUCUGGUGGGAGCGAUCGGUCUGGCGCUUAGCGCGAGUACUUGCAUCGUCUCCGGCCAUCCUUGGGGAGAGUCUGUCUGGCAUUAAGUUGUCGGGCAGAGGAUCCUCAUCGUUUACUGUGAAAAAAUUAGAGUGUUCAAAGCAGGCUUAUGCCGUUGAAUAUAUUAGCAUGGAAUAAUAAGAUAGGACUUUGGUACUAUUUUGUUGGUUUGCGCACCAAAGUAAUGAUUAAUAGGGACAGUUGGGGGUAUUCGUAUUCCGUUGUCAGAGGUGAAAUUCUUGGAUUUACGGAAGACGAACUACUGCGAAAGCAUUUACCAAGAAUGUUUUCAUUAA